UCCUGUGUUAAAACCUCGUUUGUGAUAUUUAUAAGAAGCCAACUUAUUAUUCGUUAGUUAAGUUAUACGUUUGUCUAGCAAAACAUGUUUCAAACUAAAUCGUUAUUACACCUUAAAAACCUUGUUUGUUGCGGUAGCUUUUAAAACAAGUUACGUGGUAUGGUAGUUGAAAAUCAUUUACCUUUUGAAAACUCGCGUCCUAUUGCUAACAAAUUUAAGUCAAUUUAAAUAAAUCCCCAAAUAAAAAUAAAAACUUGAAACGGC
rnacentral:lncRNA from 1 species